GCUCACCGCAACCUCCGCCUUCCGGGUUCAAGCGAUUCUCCUGCCUUAACCUCCCAAGUAGCUAGGACUACAGGCAACCGACGCCACGUUCGGCUAAUUUUUGUAUUUUUAGUAGAGACGGGGUUUCACCAUGUUGGCCAGGCUGAUCUCAAACUCCUGACCUCCAGUGAUUCACCCUCCUCGGCCUCCCAAAGUGCUGGGAUUACAGGCAUGAGCCACCUCGCCCAGCCUAAACACAAUCUUAAUAUAAGAAGGCGAUAAAGCAAGAGAAGGGUUAGAGGGGAGCCUGGGGUUCCAGUGCAAUGACUAUAUACAAAAUUUAUACACAACUACAUACAGAGUGUGAAAACAGUACCCGUGUGUGUGUGUCUGUGUGUGUGUGUGUAUGUAUGUACGCUAGGAUUCUGAUUGCCAGUAUAACCAGCCAAUUUGAGCUAGUUUAAGCAUAAAAUAAUAAUUCAUUAUUACAGUACAGGUUUUUCUCAUGUAACCAAAAGUCAGAAAUGUAGCUGAGUCCAAGGGAGGGACUUGAACCAAAAUAGAAAACCUAAGAGGCAAUGUAAUCUCUGCUUAUCUGCUUAAUUUUUCUAUUGCUUUACCCAAUUCUCUGUUUUAUCUAGUGGAAUCUAUUACUUUUGGUUUUAUAGUUCUAGACAACUUGAGGACCUGAAUGACGACCUCUUCCUUCCCAAAUCCAAAUUCCCAAGGAAAGAAAUAAGGAAUUUCAUUGACCCAGCUUGGAUUAGGUGACCAUCACCAAGAAACUGACCACUAAUUUGGUUCUCAAAAGACUGAUAGGAAAUAGUGGUCAGGAGUACUUCAGUCAUUGGAAGAGAUAUUUCAUAAUCUAAAGUUUCUGGUGUUCUCCUGUAAAUGUUAUCAUCAGAUUGUCCCUGAGGACUAAAUAGUUUCUGGGAGUAACUUAUAGAAAUGAAUUCAGCCAUGGCCAAGAGGUCAGAGUCAAAAAUAGUCUAGAGCAGUAGUCACCAUAGAACUUUCUGGGGUCAUGGAAAUGUUCUGAAUCUGUGCGGCCCAAUUCAGUAGCACUAGCCCUGUGUGGCUACUGUGCACUUGAAAUACGGCUAGGGCAGCUGAGGAAGAUAAUUUCCAAUUUUAUUUUACUUUAAUUGACUCAUGUUUAAGUAUGUGGCUAGUGGCUACCAUAUUGGAAAGCAUAGGUCUAGCUAGAGGGUACUCGCUCCCAUGGACAGGGCACUUCUUAGAUAAGGGAUAAUUGUGAGGUAGCACUAAGCAAAAAAAAAAAAAAAAAAAAAAAAAAAAAAAACAACGUGAAUUAUCAGCUAUUAGAAGGAAUAAUAUAUGUUUAUGAGGUACUUUUAAAACGGGGCAAAAACCUGGAGCAUUGUCUAAAUUAAAACUAAUUCCCACCCAAUUGGAAAAAAGAAAACUUAGGAAGCAAACAUUCCAGAAUGCUUAGUAAAUUAGGGUAUAGAGACAAAUGAAUUAUUAUACUACCAAUAAAAUGAUUUUUAAAAGAUUGUGGGAAACUAUUUGGCAGUUCCUCAAAAAACUAAGCAUAGAAUUGCCAUAUGAUCUAGCAAGUUCACGUAUGUGUAUGUAGCCAAAAGAACUGAAAGCAGAGACUUGAACAUGCAUGUUCAGAACAGUGUUACUCACAAUCGUUAAAAGGUGGCAGCAACCCAAAUGUCCAUUGAUGGAUGAAUGGAUAAACAAAAUGUGGUACAAUGGAAUAUUCAGCCUUAAAAAAUGAAGGAAAUUCAAGGCCCAGCACGGUGGCUCACGCCUGUAAUCUCAACACUGUGGGAGGCCAAGACAGGCAGAUCACCCGAGGUCAGGAGUUCGAGACCAGCCUGGCCAACAUGGUGAAACCCCAUCGCUACUAAAAAUACAAAAAUUAGCUAGGCGUGGUGGUGCGCUCCUGUAAUCCCAGCUACUCGGGAGGCUGAGGCAAGAGAAUUGCUUGAACCUGGGAGGCGGAGGUUGCAGUGAGUCAAGAUCAUGCCAUUGCACUCCAGCCUGGGUGACAAGAGCAAAACUCCGUCUCAAAAAAAAAAGAAGGAAAUUCUGAUACAUGCUAUAACACAGUUUUACCUUGAAGACAUUGUGCUAAGAGAAAAAAAGCCAGUUACAAAAGAACAAGUACUGUAUGAUUCCGCUUAUAUAAGCUACCUAGAAUAGUCAAACUCAGAGAGACAGAAAGCAGAAUGGUAGUUUCCAGGGGUUGGGGGAGAGAGAAACCAGGAGUUGUCAUUUAAUAGGUACAGAACUUCAGGUUGGGAAAAUGAAAAUUUCUGGAGGUGGCUGGUGGUAACGGUUGCAUGACAGUGUGAACGUACUUAAUGCCAUAGGGCUGUACACUUAAAAUUGGUUAAAAAUAAGUUUUAUAUGUAUUUAAUCACAAUUUUUCAAAUUUAAAGAAAUGGUUAGAAUAGGACUAGGAAUAUAAAAGAAAUGUAUAUGAGAGACUAUUAAGUACAAAGGCGUAGAAAACAAACUGUUAAUGUAUUUUAGCUCUAAAAGUAUGUAUGUAAGGCCUGAAAAUGAUAUGAAAAAUAAAAAUUGUAUUAGUAUACUAGGAUUAUGAGAUUUUUAAAAAUAUUUUGUCCCUUUCUAAUAAUUCAGUAAUUUCCUAUCUCAUUUUUUUUAAUGGGCACCAUAUAAUUCACAAAGUCGCCAAACUUGAUACCCAAACCAGGCAUCCUGAGAGAAGCAUAAGAUAUUAAAAGUAAACAUUUUACUUUUACCAACUUCAUUUAAAAUAAGUAGGAAUUUUGGGUUUGAUAAGUAUUUUGUUGCCUGAUGAAGAGGGAGUUCUUCCUGGGAUUACAGGCCUCAGCCACUGCACCCACCCAAUGAAUCUUUUCUUACUUCUAACACAUGCAUCUAACACCCACUCUAACACCCACUGUAACACAUGCACAUCUAACACCCACUCUACAAACACGAUUUCUUCCCAGGCUUUCCAAAUCAACACUACUACAAGUUGCUUGUGAGAAGGUGAUAUUUUGCAUACAUUAAAGUCUCAUGCUGUUUUUGUGAGCUAAUAGAUUAUGCUUAGUAUAAAAAUUUGGGGCUGGGCACACACAGUGGCUCACACCUGUAAUUGCAUUGUUUUGGGAGGUCCAGGCG
rnacentral:lncRNA from 1 species